rnacentral:rRNA from 1 species
GUUGUAUAGUCAAGUAAUUAAGUGCAUGUGGUGGAUGCCUUGGCAGUCAGAGGCGAUGAAAGACGUGAUAGCCUGCGAAAAGCUCCGGGGAGGCGGCAAAUAUCCUUUGAUCCGGAGAUGUCUGAAUGGGGGAACCCACCUACUUUAAGGUAGGUAUUGCAACAUGAAUACAUAGUGUUGCAAGGCGAACGAGGGGAAGUGAAACAUCUCAGUACCCUUAGGAAAAGAAAUCAAUUGAGAUUCCCUCAGUAGCGGCGAGCGAACGGGGAUCAGCCCAUUAAGUUAUGUGUGUUUUAGUGGAACGCUCUGGGAAGUGCGAACGUAGAGGGUGAUAUUCCCGUACACGAAAGGGCACACAUAAUGAUGACGAGUAGGGCGAGGCACGUGAAACCUUGUCUGAAUAUGGGGGGACCAUCCUCCAAGGCUAAAUACUCCUGACUGACCGAUAGUGAACCAGUACCGUGAGGGAAAGGCGAAAAGAACCCCUGUGAGGGGAGUGAAAUAGAUCCUGAAACCGCAUGCAUACAAGCAGUGGGAGCACCUUCGUGGUGUGACUGCGUACCUUUUGUAUAAUGGGUCAGCGACUUAUAUUCAGUAGCAAGGUUAACCGUAUAGGGGAGCCGUAGAGAAAUCGAGUCUUAAUAGGGCGUUUAGUUGCUGGGUAUAGACCCGAAACCAGGCGAUCUAUCCAUGAGCAGGUUGAAGGUUGGGUAACACUAACUGGAGGACCGAACCCACUGUCGUUGAAAAGCCAGGGGAUGACUUGUGGAUAGGGGUGAAAGGCUAAUCAAGCCUGGUGAUAGCUGGUUCUCCCCGAAAGCUAUUUAGGUAGCGCCUCGGACGAAUACCAUAGGGGGUAGAGCACUGUUUCGGCUAGGGGGUCAUCCCGACUUACCAAACCGAUGCAAACUCCGAAUACCUAUGAGUACUAUCCGGGAGACAGACUGCGGGUGCUAACGUCCGUAGUCAAGAGGAAAACAAUCCAGACCGCCAGCUAAGGCCCCAAAAUCAUAGUUAAGUGGGAAACGAUGUGGGAAGGCAUAGACAGCUAGGAGGUUGGCUUANNNNNNNNNNNGAAGCAGCCACCCUUUAAAGAAAGCGUAAUAGCUCACUAGUCGAGUCGGCCUGCGCGGAAGAUGUAACGGGGCUAAAACUAUGUGCCGAAGCUGCGGAUGUAUACUUUGUAUACGUGGUAGGGGAGCGUUCUGUAAGCCGAUGAAGGUGUGUUGAGAAGCNNNNNNNNNNNNAUGCUGGAGGUAUCAGAAGUGCGAAUGCUGACGUGAGUAACGACAAAACGGGUGAAAAACCCGUUCGCCGAAAGACCAAGGGUUCCAGUCCAACGUUAAUCGGGGCUGGGUGAGUCGACCCCUAAGGCGAGGCCGAAAGGCGUAGUCGAUGGGAAAAUGGUUAAUAUUCCAUUACUUCUGUGUAAUGCGAUGAGAGGACGGAGAAGGCUAAAUCAGCCUGGCGUUGGUUGUCCAGGUGAAAGGAUGUAGGCAUGUAUCUUAGGCAAAUCCGGGGUACUCUAUGCUGAGAUCUGAUAGCAAGCUGUACUUGUACAGCGAAGUGGUUGAUGCCAUGCUUCCAGGAAAAGUCUCUAAGCUUCAGUUACACAGGAAUCGUACCCGAAACCGACACAGGUGGUCAGGUCGAGUAGACCAAGGCGCUUGAGAGAACUCUGCUGAAGGAACUAGGCAAAAUGGUACCGUAACUUCGGGAGAAGGUACGCUGUUGUUGGUGAUGGAACUCGCUUCCUGAGCUGACGACAGCCGCAGAAACCAGGCCGCUGCAACUGUUUAUUAAAAACAUAGCACUCUGCAAACACGAAAGUGGACGUAUAGGGUGUGAUGCCUGCCCGGUGCUGGAAGGUUAAUUGAUGGGGUUAGCGUAAGCGAAGCUCUUGAUCGAAGCCCCAGUAAACGGCGGCCGUAACUAUAACGGUCCUAAGGUAGCGAAAUUCCUUGUCGGGUAAGUUCCGACCUGCACGAAUGGCAUAAUGAUGGCGGCGCUGUCUCCAGCAGAGGCUCAGUGAAAUCGAAAUCGCUGUGAAGAUGCAGUGUACCCGCGGCUAGACGGAAAGACCCCGUGAACCUUUACUGCAGCUUGACACUGAACUUUGACCUUACUUGUGUAGGAUAGGUGGGAGGCUUUGAAGCUGGAACGCUAGUUCCAGUGGAGCCGUCCUUGAAAUACCACCCUGGUAAUGUUGAGGUUCUAACUCUGUCCCGUGAUCCGGGACGAGGACCGUGUCUGGUGGGUAGUUUGACUGGGGCGGUCUCCUCCUAAAGAGUAACGGAGGAGUACGAAGGUGCGCUCAGCGUGGUCGGAAAUCACGCGUAGAGUAUAAAGGCAAAAGCGCGCUUAACUGCGAGACCCACAAGUCGAGCAGGUACGAAAGUAGGUCUUAGUGAUCCGGUGGUUCUGUAUGGAAGGGCCAUCGCUCAACGGAUAAAAGGUACUCUGGGGAUAACAGGCUGAUACCGCCCAAGAGUUCAUAUCGACGGCGGUGUUUGGCACCUCGAUGUCGGCUCAUCUCAUCCUGGGGCUGAAGCAGGUCCCAAGGGUAUGGCUGUUCGCCAUUUAAAGAGGUACGCGAGCUGGGUUUAGAACGUCGUGAGACAGUUCGGUCCCUAUCUACCGUGGGCGCUGGAAAUUUGAGAGGAUCUGCUCCUAGUACGAGAGGACCAGAGUGGACGAACCUCUGGUGUACCGGUUGUGACGCCAGUCGCAUCGCCGGGUAGCUAUGUUCGGAAGGGAUAACCGCUGAAAGCAUCUAAGCGGGAAGCCUACCUCAAGAUAAGAUUUCCCUAGGACUUUAUGUCCUCUAAAGAGCCGUUCGAGACUAGGACGUUGAUAGGUUGGAUGUGGAAGCAUAGUGAUAUGUGAAGCUGACCAAUACUAAUUGCUCGUGAGGCUUGACUAUACAACACCCAAGCAGUUG